CUCAAUUUGAAAUCUGGCUCUUUUAGAGUCCGAGUUGUAAUUUGCAGAGGGCGCUUUGGCGUUGGCAGCGGUCCAAGUUCUUUGGAACAGGACGUCACAGAGGGUGAGAAUCCCGUACGUGGUCGCUAGCCUUCGCCGUGUAAAGCCCCUUCGACGAGUCGAGUUGUUUGGGAAUGCAGCUCUAAAUGGGAGGUAAAUUUCUUCUAAAGCUAAAUACUGGCCAGAGACCGAUAGCGCACAAGUAGAGUGAUCGAAAGAUGAAAAGCACUUUGGAAAGAGAGUCAAAUAGCACGUGAAAUUGUUGAAAGGGAAGCGCUUGCAGCCAGACUUGCCUGUAGUUGCUUAUCCGGACUUUUGUCCGGUGCACUCUUCUGCGGGCAGGCCAGCAUCAGUUUAGGCGGUUGGAUAAAGGUCUCUAUCACGUACCUCCCUUCGGGGUUGGCCUUAUAGGGGAGACGACAUGCAACCAGCUUGAACUGAGGUCCGCGCAUCUGCUAGGAUGCUGGCGUAAUGGCUGUAAGCGGCCCGUCUUGAAACACGGACCAAGGAGUCUAACAUCUAUGCGAGUGUUUGGGUGUCAAGCCCAGACGCGUAAUGAAAGUGAACGGAGGUGGGAACCUUUUAGGUGCACCAUCGACCGAUCCUGAUGUCUUCGGAUGGAUUUGAGUAAGAGCAUGGCUGUUGGGACCCGAAAGAUGGUGAACUAUGCUUGAAUAGGGUGAAGCCAGAGGAAACUCUGGUGGAGGCUCGCAGCGGUUCUGACGUGCAAAUCGAUCGUCAAAUUUGGGCAUAGGGGCGAAAGACUAAUCGAACUAUCUAGUAGCUGGUUCCUGCCGAAGUU
rnacentral:rRNA from 1 species